UACGUAGGGUGCGAGCGUUAAUCGGAAUUACUGGGCGUAAAGCGUGCGCAGGCGGCUUUGCAAGACAGAUGUGAAAGCCCCGGGCUUAACCUGGGAAUGGCCGUUGAAACUGGCGAACUGGAGUGUGGCAGAGGGGGGUGGAAUUCCGCGUGUAGCAGUGAAAUGCGUAGAGAUGCGGAGGAACACCGAUGGCGAAGGCAGCCCCCUGGGCUAACACUGACGCUCAGGCACGAAAGCGUGGGGAGCAAACAGG
rnacentral:rRNA from 1 species